UUAAUCCUUUCGACUGUUCCAAAAUGUACGCUACUUCAACGGUUUAUUUGGCCGCGAGAUGUCGCAGAGGUUCGCGGUGUCCCACGGAAAGUGAGAACACGCAGUGCCAAGGAAUAGAGAAGUAGGCGAUGGAAAGUUAAUAUGGCUGCCAGGUAAAACAUCCGUAAUGACGCGUCGAAAAAAAAAUCCAUAAUGACCCGUGGAAUCCUGAGAACGUCGCCCGUAUUCUUCCUGAAAAGGUUCAACGUAUCGUAUCCUUGUUUCCGUGUACGUAUUUUCCGAAUUUCAUUGUCAGUUGCGUUCGCCGUUUGUCCCUCGACCGACGACGCUUCGCGAACGGUACACCCUGUAUACACGCGUGCUCUUUUAUCGCGGAAGAACGGGCAAGGUAACCGGUCGGUUUUUACUGCCAGUGGAACGUACUUCGAUUCAAAGUCAAAGUCAACGAUAACGUGAUAAGGCCGGGGAGCGAAUGACCAUCGGACCAGAAUCUGGCGAACCGGCCCUAAACAUCUAGCAUUCGUCGUAUCUGCACAAUCUGUUCCAUCCGACACAACGAGUACACUCGUACCUAGGUAGCUAAAAACACGAAGCUAGAACGACAGACGCUGAAAUAUAUAUGAAAAGAAGCAUAGGAACGCGGAAAGCGUACGUUUAUUUCGAAUUCGAUGCGUGGAUUUGAUCCAUGCACCGACGAAUAUUUCUGUGGCAUAAAUAAUUAGCAAGCCGGCGCUAAAUCGAAAUGCAAUCAGCCUGAUUCAUCGCAGCUAGCGUCCUCUAUCGUUCCACGGAGACGUCGGGGAAGAUGCACGCCGCUCGGAGACGUAAACAACGCAGCUGCGCAGGCGCGGGUCUUCCCUCCUGCACUGUUGCACUCGAGUCGUUCGUUAGUUCCGUCUUUCUCCCACGUAGGCGGCGCUCCCUUUCUCUCCUACGUGCGGAGCAACCGCCGUUUCAAAACGUACUCGGUGGUGGCGCUGACCUUCAUAAUGGCGGUGAUCAGGCCGGUAAAUCGGGAUUCGUUAUAUAUUUUACGAUGACGCGGACAACCGACGACGAACACGCGUCGAUCCACGGCGAGAUCUUUCGACAACGAGAUCGAAGGUACUUUUCUGUUCCACGGGUGCCACGUCCCUGUAGGUUUAUUCGACAGGAUCGGAGCCGGCAGAUUGAGAACGGUUGAACAUCCUGGCCGUAGUCUCGUCGUGACUCACGGAUGUUCAACGUUCGCCUCCCUCCUCUAACGCGGCCGGAACGAUUGUCUUUCUCUGUUCCGCGUGUCGUCGACCCCCGUUCUUGCUCGGAAAUUGCGCCGAAUCGCGCGUUCCAGCAUGUUUCGCCGUGCAUUUUUCGCCGCUUCAAUUUCAACGCGUUAACGACGCCGAACAAUGGCGGUUUUGUGCCUCGCGCGGCUCAUUAUCGCGGCACGCCGCGUCGGACGCCGUUUCCAAAUUCGUAAUUUCGUAAAUUACGAAUUAUCGUCCUCCGAAAUCGGGAACAUUUAAGUACUACGUUGAUCCUAAUAUCUGUUUAUAUGUAUGUUGUAGCAAUGUACGUCUACCAGAGAAUAGACUGGAUAUCUAUUUUUCGCACGA